rnacentral:rRNA from 1 species
UUGCAAGUCGACCGAACGGAUAAGGAGCUUGCUCCUUUGAAGUUAGCGGCGGACGGGUGAGUAACACGUGGGUAACCUACCUAUAAGACUGGAAUAACUUCGGGAAACCGGAGCUAAUGCCGGAUAACAUUUGGAACCGCAUGGUUCUAAAGUAAAAGAUGGUUUUGCUAUCACUUAUAGAUGGACCCGCGCCGUAUUAGCUAGUUGGUAAGGUAACGGCUUACCAAGGCAACGAUACGUAGCCGACCUGAGAGGGUGAUCGGCCACACUGGAACUGAGACACGGUCCAGACUCCUACGGGAGGCAGCAGUAGGGAAUCUUCCGCAAUGGACGAAAGUCUGACGGAGCAACGCCGCGUGAGUGAUGAAGGUUUUCGGAUCGUAAAACUCUGUUAUUAGGGA